rnacentral:rRNA from 1 species
ACCUGACUGCUAUCGGAUUGAUACUAAGCCAUGCGAGUCAUUGUAGCAAUACAAGGCAGACGGCUCAGUAACGCGUAGUCAACCUAACCUAUGGACGGGAAUAACCUCGGGAAACUGAGUAUAAUGCCCGAUAGAACACUAUACCUGGAAUGGUUUGUGUUCCAAAUGAUUUAUCGCCAUAGGAUGGGACUGCGGCCUAUCAGUUUGUUGGUGAGGUAAUGGCCCACCAAGACUAUUACAGGUACGGGCUCUGAGAGGAGUAGCCCGGAGAUGGGUACUGAGACACGGACCCAGGCCCUAUGGGGCGCAGCAGGCGAGAAAACUUUGCAAUGUGCGAAAGCACGACAAGGUUAAUCCGAGUGGUUUCUGCUAAAGGAACCUUUUGUUAGUCCUAGAAACACUAACGAAUAAGGGGUGGGCAAGUUCUGGUGUCAGCCGCCGCGGUAAAACCAGCACCUCAAGUGGUCAGGAUGAUUAUUGGGCCUAAAGCAUCCGUAGCCGGCUCUGUAAGUUUUCGGUUAAAUCUGUAUACUCAACGUACAGGCUGCCGGGAAUACUGCAGAGCUAGGGAGUGGGAGAGGUAGACGGUACUCGGUAGGAAGUGGUAAAAUGCUUUGAUCUAUCGAUGACCACCUGUGGCGAAGGCGGUCUACCAGAACACGUCCGACGGUGAGGGAUGAAAGCUGGGGGAGCAAACCGGAUUAGAUACCCUGGUAGUCCCAGCUGUAAACUAUGCAAACUCAGUGAUGCAUUGGCUUGUGGCCAAUGCAGUGCUGCAGGGAGGCCGUUAAGUUUGCCGCCUGGGAAGUACGUACGCAAGUAUGAAACUUAAAGGAAUUGGCGGGGGAGCACCACAAGGGGUGAAGCCUGCGGUUCAAUUGGAUUCAACGCCGGAAAU